rnacentral:lncRNA from 1 species
GAUCAGAUCAGUGAACAAAAUUAAUUAAAUAAUCAUCUCUUAAUUACUUAUCUUAGACACUAAUAGGUCAAUUGGUUCAAAUAGGUUAGCUUAAGUGAAUUAGGCUCAAACCAUCGAGCCGAAUUAGAUCUUUAGGUUAAUUGAUUGUACAUAUAAAAUUUAAUCAAUUUGAUCAACAACAAUUACAUGAUCUUAUAACUUAAUUGACCUAACCCUAAUUAACAUUUAAUUUGGAU